UAAGCAUAUAAGUAAGCGGAGGAAAAGAAACUAAAUAGGAUUCCCUCAGUAAGGGCGACUGAACAGGGAUAAGCUCAGCAUGGAAAUCGGGGCCUCUGGCCUUGAAUUGUAGUCUCGAGUUGCACUGCCAACGGAGGCGCAGAUGUAAGCCUCUUGGAAAAGAGCAUCAACGAGGGUGAGAGUCCCGUUUGUCAUCUGCAGUCCCCCGUGCACGGUGUGCUUCUAAAGAGUCACGUUCCUCGGGAUUGGAGCGCAAAGUGGGUGGUAAAUUUCAUCUAAAGCUAAAUAUAGGUUCGAGACCGAUAGCAAACAAGUACCAUGAGGGAAAGGUGAAAAGGACUUUGAAAAGAGAGUUAAAAGUGCCUGAAAUUGCUGAAAGGGAAGCGAAUGGAACCAGUGCUUCUUGGCAAGAUUGGUGCGUGCUAAUGUGAUUGGCUGCUGCUUCAGCGCAAGCGUGGCAGUGGUUUUUGAUCAGGAUGUGCGUGUUGUUUCUUGCCUUGUGUGUCAACGUCAGUUCUCAAUCGAGGAAAACACCAGGGACAUGGUAGCUCUGCUGCGGUGGAGUGAAUGUGCUUGGUUGAACUCAUUUGUGGACUGGUUCAUGCGUGUCUGGUUGCAGUGUUUCGUGUUGCCGAGCUCAGCCUGCAGAGUGGAUCUCCUCCUCUCUCAGCUGAGCUCGGUGACUGGAGCAUCUCCCUGACACAACGACGCUGACUAAAUGGUUCUAUUCGACCCGUCU
rnacentral:rRNA from 1 species